AUUGAACGCUGGCGGCAGGCCUAACACAUGCAAGUCGAGCGGAUGAGGGGAGCUUGCUCCUGGAUUCAGCGGCGGACGGGUGAGUAAUGCCUAGGAAUCUGCCUGGUAGUGGGGGAUAACGUCCGGAAACGGGCGCUAAUACCGCAUACGACCUGAGGGAGAAAGUGGGGGAUCUUCGGACCUCACGCUAUCAGAUGAGCCUAGGUCGGAUUAGCUAGUUGGUGGGGUAAAGGCCUACCAAGGCGACGAUCCGUAACUGGUCUGAGAGGAUGAUCAGUCACACUGGAACUGAGACACGGUCCAGACUCCUACGGGAGGCAGCAGUGGGGAAUAUUGGACAAUGGGCGAAAGCCUGAUCCAGCCAUGCCGCGUGUGUGAAGAAGGUCUUCGGAUUGUAAAGCACUUUAAGUUGGGAGGAACGGCAGUAAGUUAAUACCUUGCUGUUUUGACGUUACCAGCAGAAUAAGCACCGGCUAACUUCGUG
rnacentral:rRNA from 1 species